rnacentral:rRNA from 1 species
CUGGAGGUAUCAGAAGUGCGAAUGCUGACAUAAGUAACGAUAAAGCGGGUGAAAAGCCCGCUCGCCGGAAGACCAAGGGUUCCUGUCCAACGUUAAUCGGGGCAGGGUGAGUCGACCCCUAAGGCGAGGCCGAAAGGCGUAGUCGAUGGGAAACAGGUUAAUAUUCCUGUACUUGGUGUUACUGCGAAGGGGGGACGGAGAAGGCUAUGUUGGCCGGGCGACGGUUGUCCCGGUUUAAGCGUGUAGGCUGGUUUUCCAGGCAAAUCCGGAAAAUCAAGGCUGAGGCGUGAUGACGAGGCACUACGGUGCUGAAGCAACAAAUGCCCUGCUUCCAGGAAAAGCCUCUAAGCAUCAGGUAACAUCAAAUCGUACCCCAAACCGACACAGGUGGUCAGGUAGAGAAUACCAAGGCGCUUGAGAGAACUCGGGUGAAGGAACUAGGCAAAAUGGUGCCGUAACUUCGGGAGAAGGCACGCUGAUAUGUAGGUGAAGCGACUUGCUCGUGGAGCUGAAAUCAGUCGAAGAUACCAGCUGGCUGCAACUGUUUAUUAAAAACACAGCACUGUGCAAACACGAAAGUGGACGUAUACGGUGUGACGCCUGCCCGGUGCCGGAAGGUUAAUUGAUGGGGUCAGCGCAAGCGAAGCUCUUGAUCGAAGCCCCGGUAAACGGCGGCCGUAACUAUAACGGUCCUAAGGUAGCGAAAUUCCUUGUCGGGUAAGUUCCGACCUGCACGAAUGGCGUAAUGAUGGCCAGGCUGUCUCCACCCGAGACUCAGUGAAAUUGAACUCGCUGUGAAGAUGCAGUGUACCCGCGGCAAGACGGAAAGACCCCGUGAACCUUUACUAUAGCUUGACACUGAACAUUGAGCCUUGAUGUGUAGGAUAGGUGGGAGGCUUGGAAGUGUGGACGCCAGUCUGCAUGGAGCCGACCUUGAAAUACCACCCUUUAAUGUUUGAUGUUCUAACGUGGACCCGUAAUCCGGGUUGCGGACAGUGUCUGGUGGGUAGUUUGACUGGGGCGGUCUCCUCCUAAAGAGUAACGGAGGAGCACGAAGGUUGGCUAAUCCUGGUCGGACAUCAGGAGGUUAGUGCAAUGGCAUAAGCCAGCUUGACUGCGAGCGUGACGGCGCGAGCAGGUGCGAAAGCAGGUCAUAGUGAUCCGGUGGUUCUGAAUGGAAGGGCCAUCGCUCAACGGAUAAAAGGUACUCCGGGGAUAACAGGCUGAUACCGCCCAAGAGUUCAUAUCGACGGCGGUGUUUGGCACCUCGAUGUCGGCUCAUCACAUCCUGGGGCUGAAGUAGGUCCCAAGGGUAUGGCUGUUCGCCAUUUAAAGUGGUACGCGAGCUGGGUUUAGAACGUCGUGAGACAGUUCGGUCCCUAUCUGCCGUGGGCGCUGGAGAACUGAGGGGGGCUGCUCCUAGUACGAGAGGACCGGAGUGGACGCAUCACUGGUGUUCGGGUUGUCAUGCCAAUGGCACUGCCCGGUAGCUAAAUGCGGAAGAGAUAAGUGCUGAAAGCAUCUAAGCACGAAACUUGCCCCGAGAUGAGUUCUCCCUGACCCUUUAAGGGUCCUGAAGGAACGUUGAAGACGACGACGUUGAUAGGCCGGGUGUGUAAGCGCAGCGAUGCGUUGAGCUAACCGGUACUAAUGAACCGUGAGG